GAUUCGAAACCCUCUCCAGGUAUCCAUAUGGGAACUCCAGACCUGACCCUUGCACAAAAUCUGUUCUGAUCACCCACAGGAAUGGUCUUCCUGUCAGUUCAAGACCCAAUGCAAGUUCCUGAAACUGCUGUUGACUUAGAACUGCGAUGCUUCCAAAUGCAAUGUAUAUUACUGAUUUUGGAGGAUGCUUGUCGAGCCAGGCCAGGCAAGUUUCAUCCUGAUGCCAAAAGCUUCCUCCUGAAUUAGUUGAAUUUGUAACCAAUGGACCUAUUGGGAGGAAAUGUGGGAACAAUUGAAAAACUGAUGGUUCGAGCUCAUGAAACGAGUUGAAUAUAACGUGGUCGAAAAGCAAACAGUGCUUGGAUGGCUGGGCAUAGUAGUUUUUGAAAAGAAAGGGCUGGAGUUCUUCAGGUUGAUAACUCCACGGUAACUCGUUAGCUUUCCAAGCAAGUAUCUCCUCAGAUAUCGAAACCGCUACCUCUCUGUCUAUUAAGAAUCCUGCAAGAAAAUGAUAAGAAAAUUUUGACAACUAUAAAAAUAUGAUUUAACGGAUUGAAAAUGCUAGUCUGAAAUUUGAUUACCGUUUUCAUCAAUAGUGCCAGCCUCAAUCAGUUGAGGAAUAUGAAGCAUCAGAGCGAAAUUCUCCAGCGAGGCAGUCCAAAGCGCAGCCGUUUUGAUCCCCAUUUCCUUGGCAACAAUAAACACUCCAGAAAGGAAAGCAUCGGCAAUCACCCAACUGAACUUCUCUUGCUCUUCAUCAUUACUUUGAGACUGCUGCUGAUUCAUCAGCAGCUCCCGUAUUUGAAUUGGCAGUACUUUCUUCACAGCCUCUGUGAACAUUCUAUGAUCACUGCUGUCGGAAUUGGAACGGAAUCCAUCAGGAAGUGAAACCAGCCUGAUCCCACCAUGGACCUGCUGCUCCUCUGCUAUAAUCAUGCGAUGAAUGAAAUCCAAAUUAGUGACAGUGACACUGAUUCCAUGGUCGGUCAACUUAUGUGCCAACUUGAGCAUGGGGAAAACAUGGCCUUGUGCUGGAUGUGGAACCAGAAGCACAUGUGGUUUCUUCUUGGUCGCCGGCAUGGAAAUGUGCUAUUUCCUUUGGUGGUGAGUAGUGGUUGUGACUUAGUUACUAACUAAAUCAUAUAUUCGACAUGUAAGGGUGAUUUAGUGUUUUUUUAGGUUGUUCUUGCCUUCACCUAUUUUAUAUUCUACCCUCUCUUUGUAUUGUCUCUAACACUGGUUGAAGAUAAGAGAACUCUAACCUCUCUUUUAACUUUUCUCCCAACUUAUUCGUUCUCCCCUCUGCAAUUUCAACACAGCUGUGUUUUUGUUGUGUUUCAUGCCAACAUCAUCCGAAAGCAACUUUUGGUGUUAUUUUCUAUUUUUUAUUUGUGAUGUUGGCCUAUUAGCAGGGGGUAUGUCAUCCAAAUGUCAUUACAAAGGACCUUAAAGUUAAGAAGAGAAGGACAAGCAAACUCAAGACCGUAUACAUGAACUCAUAACUGAUCAAUCACACAUUAACACUAUCAAGUACCAACUUCAAAAAGCUACCUUAUUGCUACUCACUUUGAACAUAGGUUGAACAGAAAAGCAAAGAAAAGAAGCCUUUUUUAUCUAUGUUAUUGCUAGUAUGGGCCAUUCAAUCUCAUGUAAGUAACAACUCUAAUGAAAUAGUUAAAGCAGUGACACAGAUUGUUAGUAAUCAGUUGAUACACGUUAAAAGUGAAUCAAGCAAUUAACAGAGCAUAGGCAGCAAUGAAUGGCUUCCAAAAAGGAAAGCCAAGAACAGGAUUUGCAUCAGCUGAAGCCUGAAAGAAAAAUUGUGAGAUACUGUUACAAUUGUCAUAUCAUGGUUCUAAUGCGACCGAAAGACGAUAACCAUUGUUCAUAUGAAAUAAAUUUCGCCAUGGAAAGUCAAGGGACAAAUCCAGACUACAGAGGAUUAGCAAUGUAAAGCAGACAAAAUGAAGCAUUGAAUAACUAUAUCUUGUGGAAAACAGUGAGCCUUCAAUGUGAAAUUGCAAACACCAAAGAAAAGGUUGCAAGUACCGAAAUACAGUACUCAAAAGAGUAAAGCCAACCGUCGACACAAAAAAACAGGGAAGCAUAUGAUAGCAACAAUGAUCCAGCCUUUUAUUUACCGCUAUACCCAGUUAGUAAUCCAAUCUAAUGAACUGAAGUACACAAGGGUAAAGAAGAGAUAAUGAAAAUGGAGUGGCCAAAAUCAAAAGAUUUGACAGAAUUAAGAGUCGUUUGGACGGGUGUGGUUUAGACUUUAAUGGUCAUUUGAUCUUAAAUUAUCAGUUUAGACACUAAAAGAAAAUAUAUUUGAAAGUGAUUUANNNNNNNNNNNNNNNNNNNNNNNNNNNNNNNNNNNNNNNNNNNNNNNNNNNNNNNNNNNNNNNNNNNNNNNNNNNNNNNNNNNNNNNNNNNNNNNNNNNNNNNNNNNNNNNNNNNNNNNNNNUCUGUUUUUAUUUCAAGUUCAUAUAAUCAUAAAUAAAUUAGAAUAAUUUAGUAAUUAAUAUUGUUUUCUUUUUAUUUAACUCUUUUAUAAUAAUUAGACGUAAAUCAAGCACAAUCACCAAUUGAACUAAUCUAUUUUGAUAAAAUUUUAGUCAAUAGAAAAAUUCUAUAAAAUGAAGUAAAGAAUCGAAAAAAUAAAGUGAGUGAGGAGACAAGAGACCAACUAGUUCUCGUGGAGUAGCACAAUUUAUUGAAUUAGGUAUUGGCGAUUUAGAUGUAUCGAAUUUGAAUUUUUCGCACCCCACAUAUAGAUAUUUAUAUUAUGUUCAAUUUCUUUACUUGAUUUUGUAACUAUAACUUUACCUUAUCUAUCUUCGGGGAAAAAAUAAAGAUAAAAAACAAAGUAAAGAGUUGAUACGUUUUCGUCUAAAAAGAGUACGGUCGAAAGAAAAGGCUAGGGAUCAAAAUUGCAAUGAAGUAUAAUACGAGGUGCAUCUUGUAGUAGUGCAAAUGUUUUGGUAUGAGUAAUGUUCAGACACCAUGACAAAUAAAACCCCAACUAAGAUUCUAAGAACACAAAUUAACCUCAAGAAAUUGUGGAAAGAAGAGCCACCCUCAUUCACAGUUUGUCUAACAACUUCCCUCAACCUAUUUGCAUUGUCUUUUAUGAUUUCAUCAUUAAGGAGUUGUUCAACCUUGCUAGCAAUUUCAGACAUGGUGAUCAACCCUGCAGUUCCAUCUUCUUCAACCUUCAAUUUCAGGCCGACCUUCCAAGCUUCACAUAUAGAUUUCUUGUCACGGAACUGAUCCACAAAGUAAGGCCAACACAAAAAUGGAACUCCACACCACAACCCAUCCAGUGUGGACUUCCAUCCGCAAUGGCUUUAUUUGUCCACUCCACCAUUUUUCCUCGAUCUGAAAUCCUCUCCGGGUAUCCCUCUGGGAACUCCGGACCUUGCACAAAAUUUGUUCUGAUCACCCACAAUAAAUGGUCUUCCAGUCAGUUCAAGACCCAAUGCAAGUUCCUGAAACUGCAGUUGAUUCAGAACUGCCAUGCUUCCAAACGCGACGUAUAUGACUGAUUCCGGGGGAUGGUCGUCGAGCCAGGUCAAGCAAGUCUCAUCCUGACGCCAAAAGCUUCCUGAAUUAGUUGAAUUUGUAACUAAAGGACCUAUUGGGAGGAAGUGUGGGAACAAUUGAAAAGAUGAAGGUUCCAGUUCAUAAAACGAGUUGAACAUGACGUGGUCGAAAAGCACAUAGUGAUUGGACGGCUGGGUAUAGUAGUGCUUGAAAAAAUGGAUCUGGAGUUCUUGAGGUUGAACACUCCAUGGUAACUCGUUAGCUUCUCAAGCAAGAAUCUCUUCAGAGAUCGAAAUUGGCAAUUUUUGUCUGUUAAGAAUCCUAUAAGACAAAAGAAAUGAUUAGUGAGUCUGUGGAGCCAGAGAAAUGACUCUAGAUAUGAUCCAUGAAGAAUUAAUAAAUUUUAACCGUCCAAAAAUUUUAUAUUAAAUUUAACCAUUGAAGAUAAGAAGAUAAAAUUGACAGUUUACACCAAAACCCUAAUAAUUAUAGCCGACCUUCAAAACCAUAUAAAUGUUACAUUUAUGUACGUGUUUAUACAAACUCUUAUGAUCCGUAUAAUUCUCCGUACAAAAUUGUACUGCUGGUCAUCGGAAAAAAUUUCCAGAUUAAUAAAUUUUCCUACAAACGUAAAUCCAACAACGAUAAUCACGUGGUUGAAAGAAUUUUCGUAAACAGAAAUCAAAGUGACCGGUUUACUAAUUAAGAAACUUUCCGGUGUCCGGAAAAAAAUGAUGGUCUGGUCAACGGAGACACUGGUGCGGCAAUUGAAAAUGACAAGAUGCUAGUCUAAAAAAAAAUUAAAAUAUAACAUUAUCAUAUUGCCUCUGGUUGAUUUAUACACUUAGAUCAUGUCGAAAUGUAAAAGCUCAAAUUACUUCUAGAUCGAAUGAAGAAGAAAAUCUCCUGACUCCAAAACCGGACACAUGAUUAGCGGACUGGAAAAUGAAAAGGCUGGUAUGAAAUUAAUCUCCAGUUGAUUACCGUUUUCAUCAAUAGUGCCAGCCUCAAUCAGCUGAGGAAUACGCAACAUCAGCGCUAAAUUCUCCAUGGAGGCAGUCCAAAGGACAGCCGUUUUGAUCUCCAUUUCCUUAGCUACUACAAACACUCCAGAAAGGAAUGCAUCGGCGAUCACCCAACUGAAAUUCUCUUGCUCUUCAUGAUUAUAACUUAGAGACUGCUGCUGAAGCAGCAGCAGCUCCCGCAAUCGAACCGGAAGUACUUUCUGCUCAGUAUAGGUAAAGUUCACAACAUCACUGAUGUCGAAAUCGGAACCGAUUCCGUCAGGAAGUGAAACCAGCUUGAUACCACCCCCAUGGCCCUGCUGCUCCUCUGGCGCAAUCUUGCGGUGGAUGAAAUCCAAAUUAGCGACGGUGACGCUGAUUCCAUGGUCGUUGAGCUUAUGUGCCAACUUGAGCAUAAAUUAACUGCACUACUAAACAUCGCCCUAACUUUCGUAAAAAAUCAUCCUAACUUUAAACUGUGAACAGUAAAAUUACGAAAAUACCCUUCAAUUCCGUAUUAAAAACCGGAGAACAGAAUCAUUCAGCAUCACUUUCACCAUCCCACACAAAUUUUUCUCUGAAAAAAUAAGCCCUAGUUCUAGCUGUUCGUACCGCCGCCGCCGCCAACUUCAUCACAACCCACACCGACGCAACCGCCGCCGCAAAAAAGGCAGGAAAAAAAAUCGACGCGUAAUGAACUGUAAUUAUAAUCAAUUAAUUCAAUUAAACAUAUCAUUAUUACGAUAAUAAUUAUUUAAAAUUAAAUUAUUACGAUAUAAUUGAAAAACGUAUAAUCAGUACGAAAUUAGAUAAUUAAGAUUCACACUUAGACACAAAUAAUAGCAAAAAAAUUUACAAAAUUAUAAUUAAGCAUAUUAUAGAUAAAACUACUAACAAAAAAGUAGUUGUUAUGUAACAUACGUAAUGAACUGUAAUUAUAAUCAGUUAAUUCAAUUAAACAUAUCAUUAUUACGAUAAAAUUAUUUACAAUAGAAUUAGUACGAUAUAAUUGCAAAAUAUAUAAUCAUUACGAACUUAGAUAAUUAAUUUCCACAAUUUGGCACAAAGNNNNNNNNNNNNNNNNNNNNNNNNNNNNNNNNNNNNNNNNNNNNNNNNNNNNNNNNNNNNNNNNNNNNNNNNNNNNNNNNNNNNNNNNNNNNNNNNNNNNNNNNNNNNNNNNNNNNNNNNNNNNNNNNNNNNNNNNNNNNNNNNNNNNNNNNNNNNNNNNNNNNNNNNNNNNNNNNNNNNNNNNNNNNNNNNNNNNNNNNNNNNNNNNNNNNNNNNNNNNNNNNNNNNNNNNNNNNNNNNNNNNNNNNNNNNNNNNNNNNNNNNNNNNNNNNNNNNNNNNNNNNNNNNNNNNNNNNNNNNNNNNNNNNNNNNNNNNNNNNNNNNNNNNNNNNNNNNNNNNNNNNNNNNNNNNNNNNNNNNNNNNNNNNNNNNNNNNNNNNNNNNNNNNNNNNNNNNNNNNNNNNNNNNNNNNNNNNNNNNNNNNNNNNNNNNNNNNNNNNNNNNUUUGGACGGCUGAGUAAUUUUUUACGAAAAAAAUUCACUAAAAUUAGAAUUAAUCAUAUCAUUAUCAUAAUAUAAUUUUUAAAAAUAUAAAUAUUAUUAUGUACUUAUAAAAUAUUUAAUUUAUAUAAUAUUUUGACAUAAAAAUCGGUUAAAUUGACCGGCCAUCUGGUUUGGGCGGCUGGGUCAUUUUUUCCAAUUUUUUUUAUACUCACCUUCACCGUAUGACGAAUACGACGAAUCCGCGAAAUUCUAUCACAGCGGUGGUCCGGCGAAACUCCGGCGACUCUCCUGCAAGACAAGGAAGAAAAUAAUAACAAAUGGGCAGUGUACGAAUGGACUUCAUUGGUCCUUCAAUAUUUAAAGCCAACAUAAGGGGUAUUUUCGUAAUUUACUGUUCACAUUUUAAAGUUAGGGUAAUUUUUUUCGAAAGUUAGGGCGAUGCUUAGCAGUCCCCUAAAUUAAAGGAUAAAGAGAAUAAAUAUUUUAAUGGUGAUUGAUUGAAAAAAGUAAAUCACAAAAAAUGCUCCAUUUUCGAAAUAUGCUUAUGUGAUAAAUUUUAAAUCUGAAAAUACUUAAUAUAUAUUGUUGAUGUGUUGCUAUAACCAAUUGUAGACAUUGCUAGCUAGUUAUGGAAGGAGGCCGAACCCGUAGACAAUUGUAAUGACUAGUUUCAUAUAUAUGGUCGGACCCUUAUCGGAGUCUCACUAAAGAAGUCUUGUUGACAAUUAUAACUAGUUAUCAUAUUGUGUAACAAGUUAUAGAAACUAUAAUUAGUUACACACACCUGUAACAUGUGACUAUAACUAGUUAUGAAAAAGUGAUCGAAAGUUCGUUCGACCCCAACUAAGAACACAAAUUAUCGACAAAACUCAUGAAACUGCGGAAAGAAGUGCCAUCCUUGUUCACAGUAGCCCGAGCAAGUCCCCUCAACAUAAUCGCGUUACUUUUUAUGAUUUCAUCAUUAAACAGUUGUUCAAUCUUGUUAGCAAUUUCCGACAUGGUGAUCAAUCCUGCAGUUCCAUCUUCUUCAACAUCCAAUUUCAGACCGACCUUCCAAGCUUCACAUAUGGACUCCUUGUUAUGAAACUGAUCCACAAAGUAAGGCCAACACAGAAACGGAACUCCAGACCACAACCCAUCAAGCGUAGAGUUCCAUCCGCAAUGGCUCAGGAAACACCCUACGGAAGGGUGAGAAAGGACCUCCUCUUGGUUCGUCCACUCCACCAUUUUCCCACGAUUCGCAACCCUCUCUAGGUAUCCAUCUGGGAACUCCAGACCCGACCCUAGCACAAAAUCUGUCCUGACCACCCAGAGGAAUGGUCGUCCUGCCAGUUCAAGGCCUAAUGCAAGUUCCUGAAACUGCUGUUGACUGAGAACUGCAAUGCUUCCAAAUGCAACGUAUAUUACUGAUUUCGGAGGGUGCUUGUCGAGCCAGGUCAGGCAAGUUUCAUCCUGACGCCAAAAGCUUCCUCUUGAAUUAGUUGAAUUUGUAACUAAUGGAGCUAUUGGGAGGAAGUUUGGGAACAAUUGGAAAGCUGACGGUUCCAGUUCAUGAAAUGAGUUGAUUAUGACGUGGUCGCAAAGAAAACAGUGCUUGGAUGGUUGGGUAUAGAAGUUCUUGAAAAGAAAGGACUGGAAUUCUUCAGAUUGACAACUCCAUGGUAACUCGUUAGCUUUCCAAGCAAGUAUCUCGUCAGAGAUCGAAAUCGGUAACUCUUUGUCUGUUAAAAAUCCUGCAAGGAAAAAGAAAAUGAAUAUUCCAAGCAUUUAUAUGUAUGCAUGAUUAGCUGGAUUGAAAUGAAUUAGAUGAUUACCGUUUUCAUCGAUAGUGCCCGCGUCAAUCAGCUGAGGAAUACGCAACAUCAGAGCGAAAUUCUCGAGCGAGGCAGUCCAAAGCGCAACCGUUUUGAUUCCCAUUUCCUUGGCGACAACAAACACUCCAGAAAGGAAUGCAUCAGCAAUCACCCAACUGAAUUUCUCUUGCUCUUCACCAUCAUCAUUACUUAGAGACUGCUGCUGAAUCAGAAGGUCCCGCAAUUGAACCGGCAGUACUUUAUGCACAGAAUCUGUAAACCUCACUACAUCACUGAUGUCGAAAUCAGAAUUGUAUCCGUCAGGAAGUGAAACCAGCUUGAUACCAAUACCACCAUGGCCCUGCUGCUGCUCCUGUGGCGCAAUCUUUUGGUGAAUGAAAUCCAAAUUAGCGACGGUGACGGUGAUACCAUGGUCGGCCAGAUUAUGUGCCAGCUUGAGCAUUGGGAAGACAUGGCCUUGUGCCGCAUGUGGAACCAGAAGCACAUGUGGUUUCUUCUUGGUCGCCAUGAAUUAAAGGUUGUGGCCUUCACCUAUUUCAUCUUUUAUCCUACUCCUUGUAUUUGUCUCCAACACUCAUUGAAGAUAAGAGAACUGUAACUUCUCUUUGACUUUCUCCAAACUUGUUUAUUUUCUGGAAUGCAUUAAUAGAUACGUACAGCUGUGUUUUUGUUGUUUUCCAUGCAAACAUCAUCCGAAAGCAACUUUGUGUCAUUGUUUUUUAACGUCUGAUGUUGGCCUACCAGAAGCAGUGGCUAACAUCAUCCAAAUGCCAUUACAACGGAUUUGAAGUUAAGAAGAGAGGGUCGAACAUACUCAAAACCAUACAUAUCAAGUCAUAACUGAUCAAUCCAAUACAAAUCAACACCAAUUUCAUUUUCCAAAUGUUAACAGCAACAACUGGCCAGACACUUUACUAGAGUUUCGUAAAUUAUUAAUGUAAUAUGUAACUCUCAAUUACGGUCAGUCGCGGUCCAAUAAGAAUUUAUAACUUAUAAUUAAAACUAGUUUUAAAAACUUGCUAUAGCUAAUUUUUUUUCCGAAAAAGAUGGUAACCAAAUUUGUCAUUCAAUCAAAACGUUCAAAAAGAGCAUACAAAGUGCCCAUCGGAGGUACAGACUCCACAAACGGAGCUGCAUGGGCCCCAGAUCUCCGCCAAAAAGCAUCAACCACGGUCCUUACUCACCCGUAUAGGGAUAACGGCAAUGAAACAUAGUCACCAUAAAACAAUAAGCAAAAGUGGGAUUAUUACUAAAAUAAAACCUAGCUUUGGACACUUUAAGGUCUUUAUUGAAAACACCAUAAGGCUACUCUCAUGGUUAUCCGCGUGUUCCGGUUAGUUGAGCGGUUCUAACCCCAGCAAGUGGGCGAUCAGAGUAAUCCGGGGCGCAUCACUCUCCGUCCUUGAAGUCCUCCUCUCUCAUUCCCCUGUCGAAGGCUUCAGGUGCCGCACCGUUGUUCCCAGUGCCGCAAAGCCUGGAAGUCAUAGUGGGUCGUGACUCUGCAGUUGCGGCGGCUGACUGGUAUGCUGGAUCCCAUGGUGCACCUACCCACGACAGCGAGCGAGAGGGAUUGGGUAGCGGGUUGGGUUGGACACCUGUGCUGGGUCACCAGAGGAUUUGUAGAUCCAGGUCGUGCUUCGUUGCAGUGACUUAUAAUGGCCGCCACAACCGAAAACCAAGCUUCAGACCCUAGCUUGAUUCUUACUAACUCCAUGCGCGCUUAAUCUGCUAGGGUUUCUAUCAAAAUCACAAUAUCCGCAUCAUGCAUCUGAAUCAAAUCGCCAACAACAUUGAUAGCUUGAGCUUGCUCCAAUUCAUAUAAUUCCAUCACAUAAUUAUCCUCGUAACCGACACGGAACUCGUGACGGCGGCCGUCGGCAACAAGCCUCUACGCGUGAUGUGCGGAUUUUACCCCGCUAUCAAAUACCCACUAGAUUGCUCUAGUAGGAUCGUAAAUUUCCCUAGGGUUUUUCUAGUUCUAUUAUUCAAGUUGAUUGACUAACUAGACCAAGUGUCAGUGUACUGAUUGUUUGUUUGAUUGUUUCAAGUAACCAAUUUACACUAAGAAUGUAAAUCAAAGGAAACCAAAUUCAAGAGAUUGAGUUUCAGGUAUGGAAUGAAGGUUACUCGGAUUCGAAUCCACUAGAGUUAGCAAUGCAUGGAUGAACGACAAGUUAUCUCGGUAAUUCAGGUUAUAAUGGCUUGACAAUUUCCUAAUGUAGUCUUAGAUAACUCUCGCGCCUCUAACGAUCUAUUUCGUCUAACCGUCGACUCCUCUCUCGAGCUAAUCUACGCCUAAACAAAACACAUUAAUAAUGUUCGAUGAAAUGCCACAACGAUAAACGUGCAAAAAGCCUAAACGAUUCGCUCCUCUCUCGNNNNNNNNNNNNNNNNNNNNNNNNNNNNNNNNNNNNNNNNNNNNNNNNNNNNNNNNNNNNNNNNNNNNNNNNNNNNNNNNNNNNNNNNNNNNNNNNNUGACCUAUCAACUUAUGUUUCUCUCGGACCCACAAAUCAAUGCGGCCAGACAAAAUUGAAUCGAAAAUUAGGUUUUAGGAAGAACGCAUCAUAAGUAUGAAUAAACCUCAAUAACCAAUCAAAUCAUCCAUAUAAAAGUUUAGCUAAAGCUUCUUCUCGUCCGAACAACACGAAAAGUUUAGCUACUCAUGGUUCGGGAAGUAAGAAGGGAAAAGGAAGUGAGAACAACCCGAAAAAACACUAUGAUCCGUUGAGAAUUCUCAAUCCUAUCGUCGAUCUUCGCUCCUUCGCCAAUCGAUGAUAAUCAAUCACUUCAAUCGGUCUUUGUGACUCUCUCUCUCUCUCUCUCUCUCUCUCCAAGAGCUCGAAAAUAUGUGUAGAAUGAAAGAUCAGGAAUCCUAACUCUCUCCAAGAGCUCGAAAAAUAUGUGUAUAAUGAAGUAUAUCUCGUCCACAGGGGUCUCAGGGGUAUUUAUAGGCUUCUGAACCAAGUUGGAGAAGGAAAAGUACUUGAAAACCCAUCUGGGGUCUAACACGGCGUGCUCCAUAUGGAACACGCCGUGUUCCUGUCCGUAUUCGACCCCUGUAACUUUCUCGGGCAAUUUCAGCGGAGGAACACGCCGUGAUCCUUCAUUAUACGGAAUUUGACCAGAGUGUCAACCUAAAAGUUGUAAAAAAUCGAAUUAUCUUUCCAACAUCGCUGACCUUGCAUCAAUUGGACUUUGGAGCGAUGAGUUAUGCUAAAAAUACUAAACAGUGACGCUUUCUUCCCAAGUCGAACGCUUUGAGUUGUUCCGGCCUCCCCGUCAUGUUUUGGUUAUCUCUAAACAUCAUAUGACACCUGAAAUGUACCAAAAACAUACCAAACACCAUAAUACGGCCCCGAGGGGCAAGAGAACCAAACAUGUACUCAAAACCCGAAUUUGAAUACAUUUUGACACACAACAGUAUAGUUUAUAACGAGAAAAGAUGUGUCAAAAAUACAUCACAUCAACACGAGAGGAGCAGCUAGGGCAAUAACCCUUGCUAUAGCUAAUUUAUUCUUACAGUGACAAUAAAAAGAGGUGUUCACGCAACAAAAUUCUCUGAUAUGUCAUCCAAAUGUCAUUUACAUAGGAUUUGAAGUCACGAACAGAGGGACAAACAUACUCAACACCAUGCAUAUGAAGUCACAACUCAUCAAUCAUAUACACAUCAACACCAAGGUAAUAAACAGUAAGCAAAAUGAUAAGAUUUUUUUAUUUAUUUAGGUUUGCAAGGACAGUCAUUUGCCAAGGACUAGAAGUCAAGAUGAGAGUAGCAAACAAACAAUCACAAAAUUCAGCUAUUGGCAUCGGCGCCGAACCAACCUAACGUCACAUUUUCCACCACACUUAUAUGAACCAACUGCUAGGAAAUUACUUACUCAUCACACACCAAAUUAAACCAACUUGUUGCUAAGUAAAUUAUGUAACUAUGGCGCCCAGCAAACCCAUGUGGUUGUUGUUCCAGUCCCGGCGCAAGGCCAUCUAUCCCCUCUCAUGAAGUUGGCACACAAGUUAGCCAACUCCGACAUCAAUAUCACAGUCAUCAACACGGAGACCAUACACCAGAAAAUUGUUGGUGCAAUGCCAGACAAGGGGCAGAGGCAAAUAAUUGUAGAGUAAGGCUCGUUGGAGUUCCUGACAGCCUGCAGUCUGAGCUCGAUAAGAACAAUCCGGUGAAACGAAUCGAAAACCAAGAGAGAGUAAUGCCGGCUCAUUUGCGGCGGCUAGUCGAAGAAAUCAAUAGCAACGAUGAGGAGGAGGUGGUUUGUAUCAUUGCUGAUAUUAUCCCUGGCGUGGCCAUUCCACGAGGCUAAGGCAAUGGGGAUCAAAACGGCUGCGUUUUCCCCUCCUAGUGCUGCUAACUUGGCCCUCAUUUUGCACCUCCCUGGGCUCCUUGGGAUCCUCAAUCACAAUGGUUAUUGUUUCUUCAUGAAUAAUAUAAAAGUUAAUUCAAAUUCUCUCACAAUAAGAAUUUGAUUUUCGAGCGAGGAGAGUUCCUUUAUGGAUCCCAUUCAGGAGUGAUCUUGGCUUUUUGAAUUCUACAUGAUUUAAGGAUUUAUAUUAACUAGAGGUAAUAUUGUUAUGUUGUUUUAAAUAUUUUUAUUGGACUAAAACCAAUCAUCAUUUAGUCCUACUCACAAGCCACAUCAUUAGAACAUAAUUGGUUGACGAAACUCGAGAAACUGUGAAAAGAAGAGCCACCCUGAUUCACACUUUCCCUAGCAACUUCCCUCAACCUAUUUGCAUUGCCUUUUAUGGUUUCAUCAUUAAGAAGUUGUUCAACCUUGCUAGCAAUUUCAGACAUGGUGAUCAGUCCACUUCCAUCUUCUUCAGCCUUCAGUUUCAGGCCAACCUUCCAAGCUUCACAUAUAGACUCCUUGUUAUGGAACUGAUCCAAAAAGUAAGGCCAGCACAGAAACGGAACUCCACACCACAACCCUUCCAGUGUGGAGUUCCAUCCGCAAUGACUCACGAAACACCCAACGGAAGGGUGAGAAAGCACUCGUGCUUGAUUCGUCCACUCCACUAUUUUCCCCAUAUUCGCAACCCUUUCGAGGUACCCAUUUGGAAAUUCCAGACCUGACCCUCCUGGUCCUUGCACGAAAUUCGUUCUUAUCACCCAGAGGAAUGGUCUUCCUGCCAGUUCAAGUCCCAAUGCAAGUUCCUGAAACUGUUUUUGACUCAGAAUUGUGAUGCUUCCAAAUGCGACGUAUAUGACUGAUUUCGAAGGAUGGUUGUCGAGCCAGGUCAGGCAAGUUUCAUCCUGACGCCAAAAGCUUCCUCCUGAAUUAGCUGAAUUUAUAACCAAAGGACCUAUUGGGAGGAAGUUUGGAAACAGUUGAAAAGCUGACGGUUCCAGUUCAUGAAAUGAGUUGACUAUGACGUGGUGGUAAAGCGAAC
rnacentral:lncRNA from 1 species